rnacentral:rRNA from 1 species
CUCAAAGAUUAAGCCAUGCAUGUCUAUGCACAAGCCGAUUAAUGGUGAAGCCGCGAAUGGCUCAUUACAACAGCCACUGUUUACUUGAUCUUGACUAUCCUACUUGGAUAACUGCGGUAAUUCUAGAGCUAAUACACGCAAACAAGCUCCGACCUUACGGGACGAGCGCAUUUAUUAGACCAAAACCAAUCGGGCUUCGGCCUGAGACGUUGGUGACUCUGAAUAACUGAGCUGAUCGCAUGGUCUUUGUACCGGCGACGUAUCUUUCAAGUGUCUGCCUUAUCAACUUUCGAUGGUAGUUUAUGUGCCUACCAUGGUUGUUACGGGUAACGGAGAAUAAGGGUUCGACUCCGGAGAGGGAGCCUGAGAAACGGCUACCACAUCCAAGGAAGGCAGCAGGCGCGCAAAUUACCCACUCUCGGCACGAGGAGGUAGUGACGAAAAAUAACGAGGCGGUUCUCUAUGAGGCCCGCUAUCGGAAUGAGAAAAAUUUAAACCCUUUAACGAGGACCUAUGAGAGGGCAAGUCUGGUGCCAGCAGCCGCGGUAAUUCCAGCUCUCAAGGUGUAUAUCGCCAUUGCUGCGGUUAAAAAGCUCGUAGUUGGAUCUGCGCCUUCGGACUCGGUCCGCCCAACGGGUGUGAACUGGGAUCCAAGGCUUAUACUGCUGGUUUUCUCUUGAUGCUCUUUACUGGGUGUCUUGAGUGGCUAGCGAGUUUACUUUGAAAAAAUUAGAGUGCUCAAAACAGGCUAACGCCUGAAUACUCGUGCAUGGAAUAAUAGAAUAAGACCACGGUUCUAUUUUAUUGGUUUUCGGAACUGUGAUAAUGGUUAAGAGGGACAGACGGGGGCAUUCGUAUCGCUGCGUGAGAGGUGAAAUUCUUGGACCGCAGCGAGACGCCCUACUGCGAAAGCAUUUGCCAAGAAUGUCUUCGUUAAUCAAGAACGAAAGUCAGAGGUUCGAAGGCGAUCAGAUACCGCCCUAGUUCUAACCGUAAA